rnacentral:rRNA from 1 species
AGCGAACGCUGGCGGCAGGCUUAGCACAUGCAAGUCGAGCGGGCAUAGCAAUAUGUCAGCGGCAGACGGGUGAGUAACGCGUGGGAACGUACCUUUUGGUUCGGAACAACUGAGGGAAACUUCAGCUAAUACUGGAUAAGCCCUUACGGGGAAAGAUUUAUCGCCGAAAGAUCGGCCCGCGUCUGAUUAGCUAGUUGGUGAGGUAAUGGCUCGCCAAGGCGACGAUCAGUAGCUGGUCUGAGAGGAUGAUCAGCCACAUUGGGACUGAGACACGGCCCAAACUCCUACGGGAGGCAGCAGUGGGGAAUAUUGGACAAUGGGCGCAAGCCUGAUCCAGCCGUGCCGCGUGAGUGAUGAAGGCCCUAGGGUUGUAAAGCUCUUUUGUGCGGGAAGAUAAUGACGGUACCGCAAGAAUAAGCCCCGGCUAACUUCGUGCCAGCAGCCGCCGUAA